rnacentral:rRNA from 1 species
CCUACGGGAGGCAGCAGUGAGGAAUAUUGGUCAAUGGACGCAAGUCUGAACCAGCCAUGCCGCGUGCAGGAAGACGGCUCUAUGAGUUGUAAACUGCUUUUGUACGAGGGUAAAUCCCGAUACGUGUAUCGGGUUGAAAGUAUCGUACGAAUAAGGAUCGGCUAACUCCGUGCCAGCAGCCGCGGUAAUACGGAGGAUUCAAGCGUUAUCCGGAUUUAUUGGGUUUAAAGGGUGCGUAGGCGGUUCGAUAAGUUAGAGGUGAAAUCCCGGGGCUCAACUCCGGCACUGCCUCUGAUACUGUCGGGCUAGAGUUUAGUUGCGGUAGGCGGAAUGUAUGGUGUAGCGGUGAAAUGCAUAGAGAUCAUACAGAACACCGAUUGCGAAGGCAGCUUACCAAACUACGACUGACGUUGAGGCACGAAAGCGUGGGGAGCAAACAGGAUUAGAUACCCCAGUAGUC